UGUCAGAGCUGAAGUUUUGCUGUUUUACACCAGAGGAGGAUGGAGCCUUUUGACCUUUACAUUUUUAUUAGCAGAUCUCUGUCAUCCCAGUGUAAUCUAAAGGCUCUUAUUCUAUCCCUUUGUCUUCCAGGAAACGUCUGAAAUAAGCAUUGUGCUCUCUGGAGACAGAGGAAAGUCUUUUCAUCAUCCAAAGCCCUGGCAGAAGCUGAGCAGAAGAGUCCAAAUUUUUUGUUUCCUGAUGAUGAAGAGCAGUAAAGUCACAACUCAAUUCUUUCCAGGUGGCACAGAGGGAAACUUUACUAAUUCCUUAGAAGUAGAAGAAUGAAGCAGAAGCUCAGCUGAUGUAUAGAGUGGGCAUAAUGUAUAUAUUUGAGUGGAGCAGCACUGGAAAGCUACUAUAUUUUUAGUGAGUAUAUGCAAGUCACUUCCCCCAGAUCAUGCACCUUUAGUAAGUUUCUAGCAAAAAAAUCACAAAAUGUUUGUUAUUUGAAAAUACGAGUCAUUAUAUAAAAUGAAUGAAUCUAUAGAUACGAGAUAGCAUUAGGAAGAAAUAUCUGCAUGUUCAAUAAAGGAAG
rnacentral:lncRNA from 1 species